GUCUUAUUGAUUAUAAUUUUAAGUCGAUCUGCCCAAUGAAUAGUUUUAAUGGCUGCAGUAUACCUGACUGUGCAAAGGUAGCAUAAUAAUUUGAUUUUUAAAUGGAAUCUGGAAUGAAAGAAUUAAUGAAAUAUAUACUGUCUCUUAUUUAUUAAAUGAAUUUAAAUUUUUAAUAAAAAUGUUAAAAUUUUUUUAUGGGACGAUAAGACCCUAUAGAAUUUUAUAUUAAAUUAAAUUUAUAUAAAAUAUAAAAUUUAAUUUAAUAUUUAAUUGGGAGAAUUAUUAAAUUUAAUAAAUUUUAAUAAAAAUAAACUUAAAUUAAAGAAAAUAUAAUGAUCUUUAAGUUAAAAUUAAUAGAAUAAAUUACCUUAGGGAUAACAGCGUAAUAUUUUUUUAUAGAUCGUAUAGAAAAAAAUGAUUGCGACCUCGAUGUUGAAUUAAGAUAAAUUUUAAAUGCAGGGGUUUAAUAAUUAAGUCUGUUCGACUUUUAAAAUCUUACAUGAUUUGAGUUCAAAUCGACGUAAGU
rnacentral:rRNA from 1 species